CCUACGGGAGGCAGCAGUGGGGAAUAUUGGACAAUGGGGGGAACCCUGAUCCAGCGACGCCGCGUGAGUGAAGAAGUAUUUCGGUAUGUAAAGCUCUAUCAGCAGGGAAGAAAAUGACGGUACCUGACUAAGAAGCCCCGGCUAACUACGUGCCAGCAGCCGCGGUAAUACGUAGGGGGCAAGCGUUAUCCGGAUUUACUGGGUGUAAAGGGAGCGUAGACGGUGUAGCAAGUCUGAUGUGAAAGUUCGGGGCCCAACCCCGGGACUGCAUUGGAAACUGGUAAACUGGAGUGCAGGUGAGGUAAGCGGAAUUCGUAGUGUAGCGGUGAAAUGCGUAGAUAUUAGGAGGAACACCAGUGGCGAAGGCGGCUUACUGAACUGUAACUGACGUUGAGGCUCGAAAGCGUGGGGAGCAAACAGGAUUAGAUACCCGGGUAGUC
rnacentral:rRNA from 1 species